CCAAAGAAAUGUUCGCGGUCGACGAAGUAAUACCGGUAUCGGUGCUUUCGUCAACAAAGGGAUCGGAGUCCAAAGGAAAACAUGAAGCUAAAUAGCAACCACAACCACCAGCCUCGACUCAGUCGGAGAAGCAGGGAACAGACGAGGACGAUGACUACUGGACCCCUCGAUCCUUCAUAAUCCGUGAGGAUUCGGACGCCACCAAAUCGACAGUCGAAGAGCUGGAGCAAGUCAUACUGAUCGAGCAUCUAUCCGAUCGAAAGGUAUAUCUGGGUACGGGGUUAACCCACGAGCUUAGGGAAAAACUCAUUAAACUUCUUAUCAAUAAUAUGGAUUGUUUUGCUUGGUCCCACCUAGAUAUGACAGGGAUCCCGCCAGAGAUCAC
rnacentral:lncRNA from 1 species